UUUGACCUCGGAUCAGGUAGGAAUACCCGCUGAACUUAAGCAUAUCAA
rnacentral:rRNA from 2 species